AUGUGGAAAGUGCUCUGUGGAAUAGACAGUACCGCCUUUCACACCUCCAUUGACUCCAUCCUCCCCAUUCCAUACCCAGAUUCAAGUCCUUCAAGUUUUGGUAGAGCACUCUGGAUGCUCGAUUCUCUGAAAGAAAUCACUUCUGAAAAGCAGACAUUUAACAUUUCCAAUCUGUCUCUGAAGCUGAGAUUAAAUUACAUUCUGUUUUGAAGGAAUCGAAAACACACUUGUUAAUAUAAUAAAUGCUUUCCGAUGGUUCUAGAAUUUGUCUUUGUUAGGCACAUAAUUCAAGAAUUAUCUAUUAUGGUAAAAAAAAAUUGAGCCAUCUGGGUCUGUGCUAAUAUCUGCGAGCAAUAAGUCUUCGAUUUCCUGCAUACUUCAUUACUGGCGAUACACAGAGAGCAAUCAUUCCAAAAUCAGAGCUUGUUUUCUGUUGUCGGACUAUUGUUCAUCAGGAUUUAUGAAGCAACAAAAAGGCAUUUUCUUGAUUUUCAUAAGUUAAGCUAACAGUCCGGUGAUGACAACCCCAUUAAAACUCAGCAAGUUAGAUGUUUAAACCAUGGGGUUUUAUACCAUAUCUAUCAUUUUUACAAAGCGGCUUUCUUUCCUCAAACUUUCCAUAGAAUCUUUUAUCAAUAGAAAAGACAGGAAAAAAAUGCUUAUUUACCAUAUAUUUGUUAAGCCAUAUACAUUUGCAAUGUAUCUUACCUGACAGUGUGGAAAGGAUAUAAAGCGUUAUCAAACUGACCGAUUUUGAUGAUGUAGAGAAAAGAGAUGGUAGGCCAAUAGCAUUCUCUCCGAAUGAACUCUGCCACAAUGCUUUUUAAUGCGCUUCUCCCUGGGGAUGGGAGCAGGGACGAGCCGGCUCACUGGUAGCUGGUCAGCGGCACAGCGCCCUCUGGAGAGAGCAGGACGGCCCAUCUCAGGGUUUUGGGGCCGCACUCUAUAGAUGCACAGCCUGUACACUGUCUGUUGUGAGUCUUCUUGUGACUCAGGAUGCUGGAAGCCUUCAGUGCCGCUUGAGACUUUGGGAAUAAAUGCAGGAAAGGAAUCUCUGGCAAGAGAAAGAGAGAUCUUGGCUUUAAAGCCUUGCAUUUAGGAAGUUCCCAUUGGCGACGGAAGAAUUCCUGUUAGGUACUGAGAACAUUAGUUUCUUCUCCAUAACUCAUUUCUUCCUCAGGGCUGCCUGUUGGAUUUACAGCAAAAAAAGUUAACCAGGGCAGAAAGGUUUGUUGUUGUUUUGUUUUUAAAGAAGGAAGCUCUUGUCAUCUAAGAGUGAAAGAGAAGGCUUUCAGGUCAGUUCCGCCUUAAAUCAGCCUACAGCUCGCGCGUAGCCCUGACCUUAGUAGCGGGGGCUUGGGUGACACUGAAAGCAGAGGAGGAGUUCGAAGACAUCUCACUCUGAGAAGAGGUGAGCUUCCCAAGUGGGGUGAGUUCAUUGUGAACUUGGAUAGAGGUAGAGAGGUGGGCUGAGUCCCCAAGAGCCCCUCAAAGUCUUAUCUCUAGGCCUCUUCUGUUAUUUUGCUGUUCUAGAGACAUGGCACCCCACUCCAGUGUUCUUGCCUGGAGAAUCCCAGGGACGGGGGAACCUGGUGGGCUGCCGUGUAUGGGGUCGCGCAGAGUCGGACAUGACUGAAGCGACUUAGCAGCAGCAGCAGCAGAGACAUGGCUGGGAAGGGCGAGGAAAAUGGGCUCACAUUUUUUUGUGCCUAUUGUAUUCUACACACUGUACUAGACAUGUUUAUAUAUGUGAUCUGUGGUUUUCAAAGAUGCCCGGUCGGCUGUUUUUCCCAAACAUAGCCUCCCAUGAACCCAGAGCUACAAUUUCCAGCUGUGAUGGGGAGACAUGAAAAAAACUGUGUGCCCGAUUGUGCUUCGUGAUCUGCCCCCAGGAGGUGACUGAUGUGGAGCCGGCAAAAGCACAAUCACUUUGAUAGAUGGCUGGCUCCUCCAGGCUCUGUUUUUAAGAAACUCAAAGUCUUCCUGUGGGAUUGCCUAAGAUUCCAGAAAGCCUGGGCUUUGUUUCUUUCUGCCAUCGUUGCAGCUGAGGUCAGAUGCCAUCUUCUGUGUGACGAACUCCCUUUCCUGAAAUGAAAACCGGUAGAAACAGCUCCCAAACCCAAUCAGCAUGGACCGGUUGGUAGCUGAAUUCCCUUGUCCACCCAUCUUUGCUUCUUGCUUGUUCUCUCACUUGGUGAGUUAAUGCCAUAAACUUUCUUCCCAGUCAUUCUAUCAGUACCCUUUAUUGGGCUUCUCUUGGGAUACCCAGUAGAAGAAUGGAACACAGACUCUAUUUUUUUUUUUUUAUGAAACUGCCUGUAAUAAAAUAAUUUUUAAAAUGAUAGAUUAGAUCUUAAAGUAUAUGAACAGCUUAUGUUAUCGCUUGCCUGAGAGACUUCACCCCUCCUGUAUAGGUUCUGACUCUGUUUCUGAUUAAAUUAAAAAAAA
ensembl:lincRNA